CCAGGGGAUUCUCUCUACCCCAUGCGAAUGCCUCCGUGGAGCUCGUAAGUGUAGCCAUAUAGCCUAAGCCAGCCGUGCCCAACUAGGUGCAGUUAGUGGCGGACCUGUACCCGGCCGAAGACUGCAACCCUCUGUCCAGGCGAUCCCACAGAGGACGAUCUUCAGUGGCUAAGGAACCGUCUCCAGGGCAAGUUCAAUGGAAUGGCAUAUCUCCAUGAACCUGAGCCAGAACAACCGCUACCCUUUCUGUCAUCCCUGUCUGUACCGGACAUUGUUUAGAAGCAAGGGAACCUGGGGCUUGCAGGCAUCCUGGCUGGCAUGGCGCUGUCGGUGGAGCAGCAGGAGGCUUUACGGCAGCGCACCAAGUUGGACAGCGCACCAACCCCAACUGGCACACCAUGAGGAGAGGGAGGUUGACGGCCAGCAGUUAUGGAGCAGUGGUUAGGGCCAAGCCCGUUACUCUGUUGCUGCUAAAAAGGGUCCUCCGAUCACAGUCAUUGGAUGGGUUGUUGUCUGUAAAGUGGGGCAUAGAUAUCAAAGACGAGGAAUGGAUCUGCAGGAGUCAAGGCUUUGGGUCAUGGAGUCUGGGAUCCUGGGUGCCUCACCGGAUGGCCUGGUGGGCACCACAGCAGUGGUGGAGGUCAAGUGUCCCAAUGGUGCAAGGGAUCUUACCACUGAAGAGGCAGUGAAGUCGAAGGAUUUCUAUAUCAAGGAGAGGGAGUGAGUGAGAGAGUACAUCACUUCCAGCAGAUCUCCUUGCUGAGGAUGGGUUGAUCAUGCACUGCUUCUCGUGGGGCUCGAUCUUCUGUAGUCUCCACAACUAGACGCUCGCUCUCGGAUCACAACUGGUACAAGAUGUCCAUGCACCGGAUUGUCUGAGGGAUACACUCCUGUUGGACUGGAAAACGGAGGCAUUUGUCUGGAUCUUCCUCUUCUGCCAUGGGGGAUGAGCUACCUUUUUUCUGGAGGAAAGUUAAAUCCCUCAGCCGUGAGGUCACUGAGGACCAACAGUAGAAGGGGGAUCAUCUGGACUGAGAUGCAGGGACAGAACAUAAGGAUUUGGGGUAAUGGCCAGCAGACCAUGAUUUCUACUAGCAUGUAGGUCCUAUAUCUGUGGCAUGUGAUGUUUGUAAAGGCAAAAUUUCACUGCUGUGUCAGGAUAGUUUGGUACAUUGUCCACUAGUCCAGUCUGAAAAGUACUAGCCUCGGGCUAGCUUAAUUUACAUCCCUGACUCCACAGGCCAUUUGAUCAGUCAUGUCCAACAGAUGCAGUAAUGGAACAAAACCGUUUGUGUUAUGUAUGGGAAAACAUUGAGCCCACACGUCCUUUGUGAGCUAGCUGGCCAGAUAGUUAACGUUAGCUCACCGUUCGUGUAGUCACACUUUUGACAUGCUAGCUAAUGUUAGCCCACCAGGAUAUUUAGUGAAAGUUUAACUAGCUAGUUACGUUAGCUCAUCGUUCGUGUAGUCAGACUUUUCCCCAGACCCCAGUGGUGGUGACAUGCUAACUAGUCCACCAGGGCAGGGAUAUUUAAUGUUUUCUCUAACAUGUCAUCCAUCGCCUGUUGGGAAAGUCAGACUACACGACAGUGAGAUACGGUGCAACGUUAGCUAGUUAACUUUAGCUAAUGUAGCCAACUAGGCAACCAAGGUGCCUAACCAGCUAGCCCAUCAGGCAAUAUAUAGCUGGAUAUAUCCUUGCUUUGGUGGGCUAGCAUGUCACCACGUGAAAAAGUAUGACUACAUAAACUGUGAGCUAAAGUUAACUAGCUGGCUAGUUCACAAAGGACUUGUCAAUAAUAAUAGGUCACAACAGUCAUUAUGCUAGCCUAUGCUGUUUUUUUUGUGUUUUUUUUUUACUUGUAAGGAACAUGCUUUGCACACGUAACUACUGUGGGUGGUUAUCUAGCAAAUAUUUAGGGAUGCACCGACAUGACAUUUUCGGCCGAUACCGAUAUCUGAUAUUUUCCUUGCCAAAAAAACCUGAUACCGAUAACCGCUAUUACAUUUUUUAGGGCCUUUAAGUAUUCUAGUACAGUUAAAUAGUUUAAACACACACACUGACCAAAAGGUUAUUUUGUUGGUAUUUACGUAUGUCCCCAUUACCAGUAAAACAUAAUCAAAACCUAUUUCUUUCACUAACUUGCUGUGCUGUGCUGUGCUGUUUCGUUGUUCAUUUGUUCAGUCAUUUCAAUCUCAACCAGGAUUUGAUCAUGCAUGUCAAGCAAUGAGGUUUCAGCUCUCUGUCCAUGGUCUCUUCUGUCGUCGGUCCUCUUCGGUGCGCACUGUCACUGUGUACGUUUCCAUAUUGUUCAGCUGUGUCAAACAUUUCAGGUAAACCCUGUUUCUUGUCUGCAUCAAAGUAGCGGCCCUUGUAUCUAGCAUCGAGCAUGGCGGCGACACAGCAAAGAAUGCCACCGAAUCACUUGUUCACAGCCUCUAGUCGAGUACUUUUGCAAGUUUUAACCCCACGGUCUGUUUUGACAGUUUUGUUGAGCAGGUCUUUCAAGUGCCAUGACAGAGGAUAUCACGUCUGCUGCAGACGCAGUUGAUGAGCUUAUUUCUCAAGUCAGUUGUUCGAAUGGAGCUAGGAGUGUGUUCAUGUUUCAAACAUGUUCUCAAAUGCCAUUGAAAUGGCAGAAGCGGUAUGAGAACCAGCACAUUCUUGAGCAUGCAAUACGGCUUUCCUCAUUACGAAAUCCUUGUCGACCGACUGUGCUGUCAGAGCUCAUUGGGCUGACAUCGCUGGUUCAAAUGUCAGUCGUGAAGCUAAUAGCAGUGACGCCCAUAUCAAGUAGCUAAUUAAUGUGAGUUUCAACAAUACUGUGUAACUCCGGUAGUGCAACAUCUGAAAAAUAGCGCCUACUUGGUAGUAUGUACCGGGGCUCGAGGUGCUUGACCAGUCGAAAGCCAACAUCAUCCACGACAGAGAACGGUUGAUUGUCAAGCUCAAUGAAUACCAUUAUCUUGGCAUUAAUGGAUUUCGCCUUUGAGUUGUCUCGCUGAAAUGUUUUUCCUCUUUCAAAUGACUGCUCGACUUGAACUUGUUUAGUUGUUGGAAGUAUGUGUUUAGUUUUUUUCUGCUUUUGUCCUGAGUAUUCGCUGAACAUCUGGGGAUGAUGCAUUUUCAAAUGAGUAAUUAGGUUUGUGGUAUUGAAUGAUUUCACUUUCUCCCCUCCUCGGGAAAUAAUAGGAGCACAAACGUUGCAUAUGGCCUUUUUGUUAUCUUCGUUUGAAACUUCUAAAUAGAUCCCCACAGCAGAAAUUGUGGUUAGGAAGGCUGUGUUGCAUGUAUAGCGUCAGCUUUGAUAUCAGUUUUGCGCACAGCGUUAAACUAGACGUUGGGCCGAUGUUGGCAUUUUUUAGAUAAUAUCGGCCGAUUCUGAUAUGCUUACCAUUGUGCAUCCCAACUCAUUUUCAUGAGUUUCUAGCUAACCACAAAUAUUUGAUCUAACCAAAAUGGCUUGUUAGUGUAAUAGGUUGAAAAAUUGUCACACAAAAUAGACACCC